GAGUCCCCGCAUGAUGCCGUCUCCCUUCCCCUCUCCCCGCACCGCGGGGCCGCGCCGCGCGCAUGCUCGCGGGUGGCGCUUGCGCGUGGCCGUGGCGGGGCGGCGGCGGUCUGCAGUGCGGGGCGGGCGGGCGACGCGGGGGCGCGCACUGAGCUGCGGAGCGAGCGGUGCGGGCGGGCGCGCAUUGAGGCGCCGUCCCUCCGGCCCCAGCACCCCCCGGCGGGACCCCCGCGGCCCCAGCGCCCUCCUCCGCACCGCCGACCGCUCCCAGCGCCGUCCGUAAGUGCGUCCGGGGGCCGGCGGUGCGGGCGGGAUGCGGGACGCGGAGCGCGGAGAGGGAGCGGGGCUGCGGGACGGCGGCGCCCCGAGGGUGCGAGGUGCGGCGGGUGCGGAGGUAGCCGAGCGGUCGGCGCUUUGAAGUGCGUUCCGAGGGAGCGAAGCGCUCGUUCGGUUCCCAGUGAAAAAGAAACAGAUAAUAAUAAUAAUAAUAAAGCCCGCACUCCCUCGGCGGAGCAGCCCGCAAGGUCACGGCGCCGGAGGGGAGGAAGGAGCGCUCCCGACCCUCGCGGAUUUUAUCGCGGCAGAGGAUUUUAUCCUUAUCGUUUCCAUUGCUCGCUCCUGAGCACGCUCGGGUGCCGGGGCCGGAGGUGGGUGGGGACAGCGGUGCUCCGCGAUCCCGGGCAUUUCCCACCCGAAGGCGUGAGGAGGAGGUGGAGGAGGGCGAGGAAGGAGGAGGCGCGGGGCGACAGGCUUUGCAUUUCCAGCGCCCACGACAAAGCAGCCCGGGCUGAGACACGGCGUGAGCGGCUUCGGAGGGCGGUGAGGGGGGUGCGAGGCGAUGGGGAGCGGGGCCGGGGAAGGCGCUCGGGAGCGGCCGCGGGGUGCGGGCUGGGCACGGCGCUGCGCUGCAGCGGGGACGGGGCCGUGUGUCCGGACCGGUGCGCGGUGCGGUGCGAUGUGAUGCGGUGUGAUGCGGGAUCUCCGGUGGCGACGGCUGGAAGCCCCCUUCCCCCCUUCUUCCCCUUCUUCCCCUUCUUCCCUCUGCAAGGCUGCCGUGUUCCCCCUUUGCGGGGAUCCCUCCAGCAGCAGGGGGUGUCCCCAGCCCACCGCAGCCCCCUCCGUGCGGGAUGUACCCACCACCCCCUCCCCACCUCGGCCGGAGUGUCUCCUUCUCCCCCUCCCGCUGCUCUCCCCUCCUUUUCCCCAGCCUGA
rnacentral:lncRNA from 1 species